rnacentral:tRNA from 1 species
CCGACCUUAGCUCAGUUGGUAGAGCGGAAGACUGUAAUAUCUUUAGGUCGCUGGUUCGAUUCCGGCAGGUCGGA